rnacentral:rRNA from 1 species
UACGUAGGGGGCAAGCGUUGUCCGGAAUCAUUGGGCGUAAAGAGCGCGUAGGCGGCCCUGUAAGUCCGCUGUGAAAGUCAAGGGCUCAACCCUUGAAUGCCGGUGGAUACUGCAGGGCUAGAGUCCGGAAGAGGCGAGUGGAAUUCCUGGUGUAGCGGUGAAAUGCGCAGAUAUCAGGAGGAACACCGAUGGCGAAGGCAGCUCGCUGGGACGGUAGCUGACGCUGAGGCGCGAAGCGUGGGGAGCAAACAGGAUU